rnacentral:rRNA from 1 species
UGCAGUCGAACGAACCUUCGGGUUAGUGGCGGACGGGUGAGUAACGCGUGAGAAUCUGCCCUCAGGAGGGGGAUAACGGUUGGAAACGACCGCUAAUACCCCAUAUGCCUAUUGGUGAAAUGAAUUUCGCCUGAGGAUGAGCUCGCGUCUGAUUAGCUUGUUGGUGAGGUAAUGGCUCACCAAGGCUUCGAUCAGUAGCUGGUCUGAGAGGAUGAUCAGCCACACUGGGACUGAGACACGGCCCAGACUCCUACGGGAGGCAGCAGUGGGGAAUUUUCCGCAAUGGGCGAAAGCCUGACGGAGCAACGCCGCGUGAGGGACGAAGGCCUCUGGGCUGUAAACCUCUUUUCUCAAGGAAGAAGAUAUGACGGUACUUGAGGAAUAAGCCACGGCUAAUUCCGUGCCAGCAGCCGCGGUAAUACGGGAGUGGCAAGCGUUAUCCGGAAUUAUUGGGCGUAAAGCGUCCGCAGGCGGCUUUUCAAGUCUGCUGUUAAAGCGUGGAGCUUAACUCCAUCAUGGCAGUGGAAACUGAAAGGCUUGAGUAUGGUAGGGGCAGAGGGAAUUCCCGGUGUAGCGGUGAAAUGCGUAGAUAUCGGGAAGAACACCAGUGGCGAAGGCGCUCUGCUGGGCCAUUACUGACGCUCAUGGACGAAAGCCAGGGGAGCGAAAGGGAUUAGAUACCCCUGUAGUCCUGGCCGUAAACGAUGAACACUAGGUGUCGGGGGAAUCGACCCCUUCGGUGUCGUAGCUAACGCGUUAAG